rnacentral:rRNA from 1 species
GAUGAACGCUGGCGGCGUGCCUAAUACAUGCAAGUCGAGCGAACAGACGAGGAGCUUGCUCCUCUGACGUUAGCGGCGGACGGGUGAGUAACACAUGGAUAACCUACCUAUAAGACUGGGAUAACUUCGGGAAACCAGAGAUAAUACCGGAUAAUAUAUUGAACCGCAUGGUUCAAUAGUGAAAGACAGUUUUGCUGUCACUUAUAGAUGGAUCCGCGUCGCAUUAGCUAGUUGGUAAGGUAACGGCUUACCAAGGCAACGAUGCGUAGCCGACCUGAGAGGGUGAUCAGCCACACUGGAACUGAGACACGGUCCAGACUCCUACGGGAGGCAGCAGUAGGGAAUCUUCCGCAAUGGGCGAAAGCUUGACGGAGCAACGCCGCGUGAGUGAUGAAGGUCUUCGGAUCGUAAAACUCUGUUAUUAGGGAAGAACAAAUGUGUAAGUAACUAUGCACGUCUUGACGGUACCUAAUCAGAAAGCCCCGGCUAACUACGUG